AUUGAACGCUAGCGGGAUGCUUUACACAUGCAAGUCGAACGCAGUGGGGACGGGUUAGUAACACGUGGGUAACCUCCCAUCAGAGGGGAUAACACUUGGAAACAGGUGCUAAACCGAUACUGAUGUAUGUAACCGCAGUGGAUUAGCUAGUUGGUGAGGUAACGGCUCACCAAGGCCACGAUGAAUAGCUGGUCUGAGAGGAGGAUCAGACACACUGGGACUGAGACACGGCCCAGACUCCUACGGGAGGCAGCAGUAGGGAAGCUUCGGCAAUGGACGAAAGUCUGACCGAGCAAUGCCGCGUGAGUGAAGAAGGUUUUCGGGUCGUAAAGCUCUGUUGUUAGAGAAGCGGUAUCUAACCAGAAAGCCACGGCUAACUACGUGCCAGCAGCCGCGGUAAUAC
rnacentral:rRNA from 1 species